rnacentral:tRNA from 1 species
GGAGAGGUGGCCGAGUGGUUUAAGGCGCACGCCUGGAGAGCGUGUGUCCCGUAAACCGGGAUCGUGGGUUCGAAUCCCACCCUCUCCG